rnacentral:rRNA from 1 species
GACGCUGGCGGGUGCUUACACAUCGCAAGUCUGAGCGAAUUUGGCGAGCACACCGCCAAAGUUAGCGGCAGACGGGUGAGUAACUACUUGGGCAAUCUGCCCUUGAGUGGGGGACAACCUGCCGAAAGGUCGGGCUAAUACCCCAUAAGAUCCACGGAGGUGCAUACUUCAGAGGGUCAAAGCUCCGCAAGGGGCGCUUGAGUGAGGAGCCCUGAUGUCCUAUCAUGGUAGUUGGCGGGGUAAUGGCCCACCAAGCCGUUUGACGGGUAGCCUGGCCUGAAUAGGGCAACCGGCCACACUGGCACUGAGACACGGGCCAGACUCCAUACGGGAGGCAGCAGUGGGGAAUUUUGGACAAUGGGGGCAACCCUGAUCCAGCGACGCCGCGUGAAGGAUGAAGGUCUUCGGAUUGUAAACUUCUUUUGGAGGGGAUGAAUGUCUGCGUGAAUAACGCAGAGUGACAGUACUCUCUGAAUAAGCCACGGCUAACUACGUGCCAGCAGCCGCGGUAAUACGUAGGUGGCAAGCGUUACUCGGAAUCACUAGGCGUAAGCGCAGGUAGGAGGUUAGUAAGUCUGUGUGAAAGCUCCCGGCUUAACUGGGAGAGGUCAACGGAAACUGCUAGGCUAGAGUGCGGUAGAGGGAAAGGUGGAAUUCCCGGUGUAGCGGUGAAAUGCGUAGAUUCGGGAGGAAUACCUAUGGCGAAAGCAGCCUUCUGGACCGUCACUGACUCUGAUCUGCGAAAGCUAGGGGGAGCAAACCAGGGAUUAGAUAACCUGGUAGUCCUAGCCCUAAACGAUGAU